AGGAGUGUUGGAGCCGAUUGUUAGGAGUGAGAGGUUGGACAGAGCAUAGCAAAGAGAUUGUUCAGGGGUUUGUGUGAGACUUCAUUGGUGAAUGUGUGGAGACUGUGGAACCAGCAGUACACUGGGACAGUACAGUGGGGAGUGUUAAGCCUGGGAAAGAAACCUUGAAAGUGCAAGAUGGCCAGAAGUGAAACCUCCUGGUGACAGACAGUCAGUCUCUAAAACCUGGCAAGAGGACGACUAUCAAGGCAUGCCACAUUCAUUUGCAAACACAUUUUUUAAAAAGUCACCAAACGAGGGGAAAGGUUUGGAAAUAAAGAACUAUGGAGCUGU